rnacentral:ncRNA from 1 species
CAUAAACAUAAAGGUUUGGUCCCAGCCUUUCUAUUAACUCUUAGUAGGAUUACACAUGCAAGUAUCCGCACUCCGGUGAAAAUGCCCUUAAAAUCACUAAUGAUCAUAAAGGAGCGGGUAUCAAGCGCACUACAUAGUAGCUCAUAACGCCUUGCCUAGCCACACCCCCACGGGAUACAGCAGUGAUAAAAAUUUAGCCAUGAACGAAAGUUUGACUAAGUCAUACUAAUCAAGAGGGUUGGUAAAUUUCGUGCCAGCCACCGCGGUCAUACGAUUAACCCAAGUUAAUAGACACACGGCGUAAAACGUAUCAAGGAGUCAACCCACCAAUAAAGUUAAAUUUAAGCUACGCUGUAGAAAGCCCCAGCUUAGACAAAAAUAAACCACGAAAGUGACUUUAAAAUGAUCCGACAUACGAUAGCUAAGACACAAACUGGGAUUAGAUACCCCACUAUGCUUAGCCCUAAACCCAAGUAAUACCAAUAAUUAACAAUAUUACUCGCCAGAGCACUACUAGCAACAGCUUAAAACUCAAAGGACUUGGCGGUGCUUUAUAUCCCUCUAGAGGAGCCUGUUCUGUAAUCGAUAAACCCCGAUAAACCUCACCAGCUCUUGCUAAUACAGCCUAUAUACCGCCAUCUUCAGCAAACCCUAAAAAGGAACUACAGUAAGCAAAAUCAUGCAACAUAAAAACGUUAGGUCAAGGUGUAGCCUAUGAGCUGGGAAGAAAUGGGCUACAUUUUCUAACAUAGAACAUAAACGAAACUUUUCGUGAAAUCGAAAAUGGAAGGAGGAUUUAGUAGUAAAUUAAGAAUAGAGAGCUUAAUUGAAUAAGGCCAUGAAGCACGCACACACCGCCCGUCACCCUCCUCAAGCACCAAGAUACAACCAACUAACCCUAUUGACAAAUGUACACACAUGUAAGAGGAGACAAGUCGUAACAAGGUAAGCGUACUGGAAAGUGCGCUUGGACAAAC